GCAUUGGUGGUUCCGUGGAAAAUUCUCGCCUUCCAUGCGGGGAAAUCCGGGUUCGAUUCCCAGGCAAUGCA
rnacentral:tRNA from 1 species